rnacentral:rRNA from 1 species
CUUAAAUUGAAGAGUUUGAUCAUGGCUCAGAUUGAACGCUGGCGGCAGGCCUAACACAUGCAAGUCGAGCGGAAACGAGUUAUCUGAACCUUCGGGGGACGAUAACGGCGUCGAGCGGCGGACGGGUGAGUAAUGCCUAGGAAAUUGCCCUGAUGUGGGGGAUAACCAUUGGAAACGAUGGCUAAUACCGCAUGAUGCCUACG